rnacentral:rRNA from 1 species
CUUUCCCUCUUUCUUUCUGCCUAACACAUGCAAGUCGAACGGCAGCACAGUAAGAGCUUGCUCUUACGGGUGGCGAGUGGCGGACGGGUGAGGAAUACAUCGAAAUCUACUUUUUCGUGGGGGAUAACGUAGGGAAACUUACGCUAAUACCGCAUACGACCUACGGGUGAAAGCAGGGGAUCUUCGGACCUUGCGCGAUUGAAUGAGCCGAUGUCGGAUUAGCUAGUUGGCGGGGUAAAGGCCCACCAAGGCGACGAUCCGUAGCUGGUCUGAGAGGAUGAUCAGCCACACUGGCACUGAGACACGGUCCAGACUCCUACGGGAGGCAGCAGUGGGGAAUAUUGGACAAUGGGCGCAAGCCUGAUCCAGCCAUACCGCGUGGGUGAAGAAGGCCUUCGGGUUGUAAAGCCCUUUUGUUGGGAAAGAAAGGCAGCAGGUUAAUACCCCGCUGUUCUGACGGUACCCAAAGAAUAAGCACCGGCUAACUUCGUG